UACUGUUCAUUUGGAUAUAUUUCCCUCAAAAUCAGAAUGGAUGAUAUAAUCACUUGAGCAGUUUGCCUAUGUCAAAGAUACAACUUUUGUAAGGAACUGUGUCAAUGAAUUCCCACUGAAAAUAUAGCAUGCGAUUACAAGGAAUGUAAUACUCCCUCCAUCCCAAAAAAAAGUGCCUAUUGUGUCCUCACCGGUUGUAGCAUGACCCCUACAUCCUUGGUGGCAGCCGCGGCGCCCACAUCCACCUGCAUCCACGCUUGGGCAGGAAAAAUAUAAUAGAAAAAUAAUGUGGACCACAUGUUCAUGGAAUUUUGCAAUGUGAAAAAUAAUGUGGACCACAUGUUCAUGGAAUUUUGCAAUGUGAUAUAGCUACAGACCGGUAUGAUUGGCAAAAUUUCUAAAAUUAAUAUUUUACCAUAAUGUCCAGCUCAGGAAUAUUAGAACAUAUAUCUUCUCAUUUGGCACUCACCAACAUUUAGCUUGACGACAACAACCACUUGACUCCAUGACUGGUGAUCGAUAUGAUCAUGUCUCUUCCUGCAUGCGAAAACACAAAUAUUAAAUUCUAUUGAUAAAGAUAUAUUCCUAACAUGCGAAGAAGAGGGAAAAGCAAUAUGGCAAUUUAAUGUGUCAUCGACCCUGCAAGUUGGCAGCAUCCCACGUGAUCGAUGAUCAAUUUUAAAUGUAAUCUUUAACUACAAUAAUGAGUACAGUAUAAUUCAUCAUUUCUUUAUUCUGGGCAUUUUUUUACCCUGAAUAAGAUAUAACACAAGGAUAAACUUGUGAGAGGCAGAGAGAACCCAAUUAGCAUCUCUAGCAGUGAAUAAGAAUUCCGAACAGACACUCCAAGUUUUAUGUUACCAUCUAAUUAAACAAUAGUAGUAUAGUGAUAAACUGUGAACCUAAGGGGUGUUUAGGGUUUGGAGAGGUACCUGGAGGGAGGAAGGGCGGAGAGUCAUGUUGCUCAUCAACACGCGGAUAUAAUGUGAUCGUGGAACUGCUGGUGCCGCAAUGAUGAGCGACCUUUCCCCAUCGCAGAGCCGUCGUCGGCACUGCUGGCCUCCUCCGGACUGCUGCGCCGCCAACGUCGCAUCAGGUUAUGAUACCGAGGAAAGAGGGAGAUGGCGGUCAGGUGUGGGUGGGGGUCUAGGGAUAUAAAGCAGCCCUCCCAACUGUUAUUGUGUUUUUGUGCUUCACAAAUCAAUUCAUAAUGUCAACAUUAUGACCAUGCUGGAAAAUCAACUUACUGGGAAAUUUAUUUAAAUAAACAACGGAAUGUACAAAUGUACUUAAAAUAACAAAAUCUUGAUCAAAUUCACUAAAAAAUACCAUGCACCAAAUCACUAUGUAUAUUAUACAAGGUCAAGGCUGAUUCGAGUAAGGCUGUUACCGAGUAGUAUGACAAUUAUCACCAUUUGCAAACACUACAAGCGAGUGAUAGUGUUACUUGUAGGAGCCCAAUUGUGAGACCUUUUCAGGUAACUUAAUGUAUAUGUGUGCAGUAAUUCGCACAAGAACAUAUCAUCACUCUAUAUGCAAUAUGAUUUCAGAGUGAAAGAUAUGAUUAUUUCCUAUUGGACGAACGUGGUUUCAACUCCACAUGAGAAAUAUCAUGCAGGAACUGAAAUAUACAUCCAAGCAUGCAAAACCAAAAAGUCAAGCAAGAAUUUGAUAGGGCAUCUAAGGCCACUAUAACAUUCACUCACGCUGGUAUGUAGUGUUGGUAGCACGAAAAGUGUCAAUGCCCUGGCUCUUCCUGUCGACCAUGCGCCUCUGCUAGCGACGACGCCAGCAAGAAUACCCUGUGAGGUCAUUAGAAAUCUGUGGGGUCAACCCUCUCAAGUUACAAGGACUAAUGAGUAAAUUAUGGAAAAACAAAGGGGUGCUAUAAAAAAGUUGUGGGUCACCGGACCUCACGGCUUACACGUAGGUUUGCCACU
rnacentral:lncRNA from 1 species